rnacentral:rRNA from 1 species
UACGGAGGGUGCAAGCGUUGUCCGGAAUCACUGGGCGUAAAGGGCGCGUAGGCGGCUCAUGAAGGCUGUGGUGAAAGUCCGGGGCUCAACCUCGGAUCGGCCGUGGCGACUCGUGGGCUGGAGCACUGUAGAGGCGGGUGGAAUUCCGGGUGUAGCGGUGGAAUGCGUAGAGAUCCGGAAGAACACCAGUGGCGAAGGCGGCUCACUGGGUAUCUUCUGACGCUGAGGUACGAAAGCUAGGGGAGCGAACGGG